AAAGAAUGUUCUUCAACCACCAGUCUGGGCAGCCCCACAGAAAGUUUGACUGGGGGCCCACAACCCCACCAGCUGCAGGCCUUCCCCACACAGCCAUGCCCUGCCUGAGCUAUCAGCAGCACCUGGCACUGGCAGAAGCUUCUGGAAGCUGUGCUGCUGGGGGUGAGGUUGGAGAGAAAUAAGUCUCCUAAGGACCUGGAGGAGAGGAGUGUGAGGGAAGAACACCAAGGCUGCUGAUCCAACAGGUUGGUGCGAGCCCUGAAUUCAUCUCUACCUUGUGCAAGACCUUUGUGUUUUUGUUUACAACUUUACUUUCCUUAAAUGCAAAAAAAAAAAAAAAAACCUGCAGCACCUGUAUCUUCAUAGAAGUGCACAAUAAUCUGUUCAGAUUGAAGAUAACAGCAUUAAGGAAGUACAGAAUAUCCAGAGUUGGAAGGAACCCAUAAGGAUCAUUGUGAGUCCAAAUCUUUGCUCCACACAGCACCUCCCCAAAAUCGGACCAUAUCACUGAGGAUGUUGUCUGGACACUUCUUGAGCUCUGACAGCUGGGACUAUGCCUGCUGCCCUAGGGAGCCUAUUCUAGGCCCACCACAGUGUGGUGUGGAACCUUUUCCUAACACCCCACCUGUUUUAUGUCCUUUUGUGCCUCUGUGGCACUCAAAACUGGCACGGUUCUCAAGGUGAGGCUGUACCAGUGCAGUAUAGAGUGACACAACCACUUCCCUUGAGCAGCUAGCAAUGCCAUGCUUGACAUGGCCCAGCAUACAGUUGGCCUUCCUUGUUACCUGGGCACACUGUCAACUCAUGUUUCUGUUGAUCAGUGCUCCUAAGUCUCUUUCAGCAGGGCUGUUCUCUAGCAUCUCAUCCCCCAGUCUGUAUGUAUUCCCAGGUGCAGAACCUGACACUUGUUAAGCUUCAUGUGGUUGGUGAUAGCCCAGCUUUCUAAUUUGUCUAGAUCUCUCUGCAAGGCCUCUCCACCCUUGAUGGGGUCAGCAGCUCCUCCCAGUUUUGUAUUGUCAACAAACUUACUCAAAAUACCUUCUAGUCCUACGACCAAGUUGUCAACUAUGGUGCAGAAAAUAAUUUCUAUGAUGUAAAGCUAGAAUUUCUUACUUCUGCUAGUCAAUAUUUUCCCCCUAUUUUUGAAGUAAUUUAUAAUAGUUACUGCGUGAGCCAAAACUUGAACAUACCAUUCAAAUAGGUCUUUUUUGUCUUGUCAGCUGUUACUAAACUAACAAAAUGCAGAUGAGAUCUGCAGUAAGUUACAUGAAAUGUUGAAAUGUUUACCUUCCGUUUUCUGUAAUGGUAAGAUUAUCAACUUAUUGGAAUGCUAUAUCAACACUUUGACUUUCCUUGCUCAUCCUCAGUCUUUUGCAGAGACUCAGUGUCUUCAUGCCUUCCUAAAAUAUCUUCUUUUCUUUUUUUUUUCUUUCAAUGAACAGUUUCUGCAUAAAAAAAAAAAUAGAAAAGUGAAAUCCUAUGGCUUGUGUUAGGGGAAAAAGUAGACAUUAAAAAAAAGAUGAGAGACAAAAGAAGGAAUAAAUUAUUGCACUGGUUAUGGGUGGGAUUCUGGGUACUGUAUACCUUCCUGAAGUACGGUUUGUGUGGCUGUUCUCAGUUCUUUGUUUCAGAAUUAACUGACACCAUGAAAUGCGCUGUGGCAUGGUACUGCUCAGGGAGGGACACUGUGAUGCAUGUGAAGCACUAGGUUGCUGCAUUUGGCAUAGCAUUCAUUGCACUGUGACAGUGCCACAUGGUGUGAACUGUUGUCCUUGUGGCUCCUCUGCUGUUACCCAACGGAUGUUACUUGUCCAAAACCCAGUUAACUUGCGCAGCAGAGUGCCUUGCCUCAGUCAUGUAGGCAUUGUGCUUCUGCAUGCCUUUCCCCACUAUAGAAUUCUGUAUCCUGCUAUUUGUUACACCCUGUAAGCAGUGCAUGUGGCUCAUAAUGACUAGAGCCACAGUUCCAAUAUUUUUGAAGGGCUGGUUUAUACCUGUUGGCGUCGAUCCACUAAAACUGAGAAAAUGAGUUUUGUCUUAAUGCAGCUUAGUGCAGCUUUUCUUUCCUUGCAGCUGGACUCCUGCUUCUGACUGUAAUUGUGCAAGACCUAGCCCAAAUUUUUGUGAUAAAUGUAACACAGAACAACCAGCGAAGCAGGAAAAAAUUCUGCCCUUGUGAAUGCCUGCACAGAUAAAUAUGUAGGGCAGGAGUUGCUAUGUAAAGAAUAUGAUGUGAAAAAAAACGGUUUCUGUUAGGUAAUGGAGAAAAGCUUCAUAAGCUGUAACUCUGGUAACACUGAAUUCUUAUCUUCACAUUUUCCAUCUCGGUCAGAUUUUCUGAAGCUUUCUUUGUCCUAUGUCUUUGUGGGUAUCAUGUGUUUUGUACCUUUUCAAUUUGGGAAGAAGAAAAUGGCACAAAUCAUUCUUGUCUGUAUUCCUAGUAAUGUCAAAAACACAUUUCAGUGACACUGCCAGUUGGAGACUGUAGCUGAAAGCAUGAAAUAAAUUGCAGAAGACUGACAGGAACAAUUUACAGAAGGUGCAUUGUGCAAACAGACACAUGCAUGCUCUGCUAGCUGUUGGACAUAUGGUUGGUUUUGGAGUUACUGUAGUAACUUAAGCUAAGAGUGAGCACGCACUAUCCACUAAUUACAACAGGAAAACACUGGACCCUAUGCACUGCACUGACAAAUUGCUCCCAGUGGUCUCUAAGCUAUUUCACUGUUGUCAUUACAGCCCCUAGCAAAGGCAGGAUAUUUGAAGAGUAUGGUCUCUGCAACCCGUUAAAGAUAUUAUAUCCCUAUUUAUAGUCCAGUUCCACGAAUAGAAAAUUCCAACAGAAGAACAUUUGCUGUAGAAAUUUUGGAAUAUGGAGCUUUUAAAGGCAGUUGUUCAGUUUAUAUGCCAGGUAUUUAGAGGGGGGGAAAAAAAAGCAUUUAAAGCCACCUUGUUCAUUAACCUUUCAGUUCCUUGUAGAGCACUCUAAGGACAAGAAAGUGGUUGCAUUUAGACAUGUAAUGCUUCAGUGAAAUGGACUUGUGUGUGGGUACUGUUACAGCGCAGACUCCCAGUAAUUGCAUGUGGUUCCGUUCUACUGUGGUUGUACAAAGUAGAUGAUCUAAACUCUUCAGGCUCUUAGAAUCCCACCACCUUUUGCUGUAGGUGUUAUUCAGUCCUUUAUACCUUUGCAAAGCAAACAUGAAAUACCAGCAAUACCUGGCAUAACAGCAGUACCGUGGUUAUUGCUGGUUUGCAGUGAGUGAGAAAAUACGAGUAGAAGUUAACGACAAUGAUUUACAUCGCAUAGCUUUUGAUGUCUGCAUUAUAAUUUGGAGGAAAUGACAAUGUGGAUAUUAUCUGUCUAUCACAGUUUGAGUAGGAGCAAUGCAAGUCACCAAAUCAUUACUACUUUUGUAAGAUAUGUGAAGUGGGGUGAAAAACUGUUUUGUAUGCAACUGGCCCAAGAAAGGGGUUAGCUGAAUCAGACGUUAUUUUAAAAUACAUAUGUGUUUGUAGAAGAGGUAUUUCCAAAGUAUUCUGUAUCUAAAGGCUAAUUAGAACUAGUGUGUGCUGUGGGGACUAAGUCUAUACGUUCAUCUUUCAUUUCCUUCUAACAGCAGUUAGAUAACAGAUAAAAAGCAUUAAAGGUGAGAUUUUUGCUGUCUUGUAGUUACAGAAAAACAACCCAGAUGCUGGAUGAAGGCUUUCCUCUUUUUUUUUUGAGGGCACAUCCAAAUAAACCUGAAACACAAAGGCUCUUAAAAUGCAAAGUUUUUUUUCAUCUUCUUGGGAACUGUGACACACAGGCCUGACACCUGAUGAGUCCGUGUCACUACAGAAGCCUUAGGCACAGUGCUGUUUUGCUCUUUAUGCUGCAGAUUGCAGCUUGUGCUUAGUGAACACUGCACAUGUACUGGAGGUAAAAAGUUCAGCUUCUGCUCAAGGUCUGCAAGGAGCUUUGUUUCAACAAGAUUAGAAGAGACCUUUGGUUUUCAUUUUUCUCUGUGCUUCGCUUCAUGACAAGUUUUGUAGGGGGGAGUUGUCACUUCAGAGGCUGGGAGCGCUGAUUCUUUUUGUCUCUUCUGCGCCUGCUGUAUGCAACUGCGUGGCUUAUUCAGAACUGAACUGCCUUGGUCCCAGUAAAGCAGCUGGGCUGAAGGAGAGUAUUCCUGAAAUGUGAUGGCAAAAAUAGUGUUAUUGCACUUGUAGUUUGGAGAUUAAAAAAUGAACUAUUUAUGCAACAUCUGUCUGGUAACUUGCAAAUCUCUCCGUGAAAUUCCAUUUUAAACAAAGGGUUAGUAUUAUUGGUCUAGUAAGAGCUAGUAAGGGAGGACAGGUACAGAGGGAUCAGAUGACUUGUUCAGAGUGCUGUGGUGAGUUGGUGGCAGCUGGCUUCUCUGCAGCUGUUUAUAUUCUGCGGUCUCAUCACAAAUCUGCCCUUAAUUAUGAGAACAGCCUGCUCUGAAGGUUUCACAGCAGUUCUAAGGCAACUUUUAAGCAAAAGCAAAUAGCCAUUUUGCAUUACCUACAGAAUCAUUUGUUAUGUGGGCUGUUGUAUACUUCACAUAGGCCAG